CCUUGAGAGUGGCGAACGGGUGAGUAAUAUAUCGGAACGUGCCCAGUCGUGGGGGAUAACGUAGCGAAAGCUGUGCUAAUACCCAAUAUGCUGUGGAGUGAAAGAAUUUCGCCGAAAGACGAUCUUGCGUCUGAUUAGCUAGUUGGGGUGGUAAUGGCACACCAAGGCGACGAUCAGUAGCUGGUCUGAGAGGAUGGACAGCCACAUUGGGACUGAGACACGGCCCAGACUCC
rnacentral:rRNA from 1 species